GGGGGGUGCGAGCGUUGUCCGGAAUCACUGGGCGUAAAGGGCGCGUAGGUGGCGUGAUAAGGGUGUGGUGAAAGCCCGGGGCUCAACCCCGGGUCGGCCAUGCCGACUGUCAGGCUAGAGUACUGUAGGGGCAGGCGGAAUUCCGGGUGUAGCGGUGGAAUGCGUAGAGAUCCGGAGGAAGACCGGUGGCGAGGGCGGCCUGCUGGGCAGUUACUGACACUGAGGCGCGACAGCGUGGGGAGCAAACAGGAUUAGAUACCCUGGUAGUCCACGCCGUAAACGAUGGGUACUAGGUGCCUGGGGGAGCGACCCCUUGGGUGCCGGCGCUAACGCAGGAAGUACCCCGCCUGGGGAGUACGGCCGCAAGGCUG
rnacentral:rRNA from 1 species